rnacentral:rRNA from 1 species
UACGUAGGGGGCCAGCGUUGUCCGGAAUCAUUGGGCGUAAAGAGCGUGUAGGCGGCCCGGUAAGUCCGCUGUGAAAGUCGGGGGCUCAACCCUCGAAUGCCGGUGGAUACUGUCGGGCUAGAGUGCGGAAGAGGCGAGUGGAAUUCCUGGUGUAGCGGUGAAAUGCGCAGAUAUCAGGAGGAACACCGAUUGCGAAGGCAGCACGCUGGGACGUAACUGACGCUGAGACGCGAAAGCGUGGGGAGCAAACAGG